GUUUUAUUUUGUUUAGUACUUGCAAGUACCAUUUAACCAUGUUUAUGGUACAACAAUGUGAUAUUGUUUUGAAAUGUGAAACUUCUUAUUGCCCUUGAAUUUAUAUUUGAUCAUAUGAUGAUCAAUAUCAAUUGUCAUUGUUCAUUAGCUGUUCUGUGAUUACCAAUUCAGAAUAAUUUACUCCAAUAUUGCGCUUUUUGUGUGUUCUUUUGCUUUAUUUAACUUGCUUUUUUACCUUGCUUUUUCUCCUUUUUUUAACUUGUGCUUUUUUUAUAUGUCAAACAACCCAAAAGAUGAUACUUAACAAUUGUAUACAAGAUUAAGAUAAUCCUCCUGUUGCUUUUUGGUUCAAGGUUUACAAUUGGAUAUCCUUUAUGUUAUGCAUUAUUAGAUAGGAACUUGAUCGUUAACAUUUAUCGACAUCACACGUCAAGUUAACAAAUCUAUUUGAUUCAUCCGCCAUUUGUGUUAGUCAUUGUAUUAAGCUGGUGAUGGUGAUGAUGAUCUACAAAAACAAAAGAUUUACCUGUCAUUAUCAAUUGGUAAACUGGUGACUUAAGAAGGAGUAGCUCAGAGUUAUCCAAUAUAAAGCUCAUUGCUUUUCGUCUAUCUUUAUUGUUGACUUGGCUAGUGGAUUUUUUUUCUCAAUUUCAAACGCUCAUAGAGAAUAAUGACCAGAAAAGUUGGCAUUUAUUACCAAUAAAUGAGUGGAGCAAGAGGGAAAACAAUAUUUCAAUUAUCUGCGAUGAACUUUACCUAAUGACGUCCAUAUUGAUCAAUUAUUUUACUUAAGAUCAUUGAAAUGUAAUCAUGAUGACUGUUCCGCAAUUUCACUGAGAAGGAUCAACUUGCUUCAAUAUGAUACACUGGUUGUAAUAUGAAAAUGCAGUGGAGAGAACUCGUUUAUUGAUGUUUUACAACCGAUUACAAUCUCUUGUUAAUUUAAACAUGGAUCAGCUUUCAAUGAACAAAAUAAGGAUAAGCCAUUAAUUAAAUAAACUGACAAAAAAUGGAAUCAAAAUACUCGUGAUAAUAAUCAUGAAACAUCAAGGAUAUCCUGUCAAAUGAGCAAUAUUGAAAGUCAUGGGUAAAGCUCAAUGCAAGUUCGUAAAUUUGAUCGAUCUCGAAUGCGUUAGUCAUUAAAAAAUGAAUCAUAAGCUGAGCGAGUUUGCAGUCAAUUAUUCAAAUCAAAUUCCACCGCUACUUCAAACCAUUUUUAUAAUUGUCUAUUUGUUUAUUGGCAGUUUCGUAGGCUCGGACCAAAAUUUUCUGGCCAAGAGUUAAGACUAACAUUACAGUCCAAGGUGAUUACCGUUUUAAAUUGGAAAGCAAGAUUUCUCAUUGAACGUUAACUAUUGUGUUUAUGAGCUGCAAGGCCCAAGGUUUUCAAUUUAUAAUUAUCCGCUUCCAAGAAUCAAAGCCAUAGAUUGACAAAUUCCCCAAAUUAUUUUUAUAAGGAAAUGAAAUGGUAGAGAUAUCAAGGAGUUGAUCAGUGUUGUCUACACGCAAUUAAUACAAUCGUCACUAUCAUCAUCAUCGUAAUCUUAAAGAGCAUCAAACACGAUAUGAGUAGCUGUUAACCCACUUAAUUAUCGAUACCUUUGGAUAAUUCAACUCUAGCAUUACUAAUGGUUAAAAUUCGAUGACUCUGGCUAUAUUAUUUGAACAAUUACAAGCAACCUUGACUAUUUAGAUGAGACGAAUGACUUUAAUCAUCCAACAAUUAUAUUCAGAAUAUUUUAGAGGAAUGUUAUCACCACAAGAAGUUUUCAUGUUGGUUAACGAGAAAAGGGCUAUUUAGCAAAAAACUUGUCAGCAAAUUAGUAACACUUCAAAUUAACAAGGUGUUACCAAACCGUUUAAUUGACUUGACGGUUGAUCCUUCCAGAGAGUCCAAUACUUAAACCGCCAUCAUCACACCAUCAUCAUCAUCUCAAACUCUCCAUAUUUUUGUACUGAAGAGUGGAAGGUUACCUUUCGAAGAGAUGGAUUUACAAGAAAAACGAUUGUAAAGCAAGUUUGAAUUAUUGCUUGAAAUACAAUAAUUUCAAUAGUAAUGUACUUUAAACAUAAAGAAGAUACAUUAACAGAGGCAAUAAAUUAUCCACAUUAAAACAUUUUA